rnacentral:lncRNA from 1 species
AUGAUGUGUAGAUGAAUAAAGUUAUCUCCACUUUUGAAUAGGAUGGUGUCAGUGGGAGGGUAAGAAGGAAAGAACUUGGAAUCUGAAAAGAAUACUUGGGGUAGCGGGAGAGAAGAACUUGAAGGUCAGAGUCCAGCUGGCGUGAAUGACAAGAUGACAAACAAAAUUGUGGAAGGCCUAAAUAAGGACAACUAUCUUGCUUCAGCUCCUUGCCUCAAGUAGCUAUUAUAUUAACCCACAUUUCUAUAGGCAAAGAAGAUUUUUUAGGUUUCACACUGAUGCAAACAUACAAUGACCAGGAGCAUUUGCAAAAAUCUACAACUUUUAAUGGAGCAGAUGACCACAGGGCAGCAAAGGACAGCUGUGAUCUUCUCCUAUCAAAUCUUGUCACUGCUGUCCAGACGAAAUUGCUACAUAAAAGAGAACCAGUGGAGAACCAGUCGCACCCAUUGCAGCUUUCCAUGGAAAACCUGUAUGAAACUUUUAAAAAAGAGAGAGAAAGUGAAAGUCUCUGGACCUCAGGACUCAGAAGACUUUAAUUGCCCCAGCAGAUCACCUGUCAGGAGAGGACCCAAGACAUGCAACCCUAUUUCUUUGCUUGCUCAGUAG